rnacentral:rRNA from 1 species
UGGAAGGAGAUCAUGAGACUUGCUGAUGCAUUAAUGCGAACUGCAUACUGCUUUGAACAUCGACAUCUUGAACGCAUAUUGCGGCCAUGGGUUUGCCUGUGGCCACGCCUGUCCGAGGGUCGGCUUAUAAACUAUCACGACGCCCAAAAAGUCGUGGCUUGGGUCUUGCCAGCUGGCAUGAUUUCCCCGCACAAUUGUGUGUGGGGUGCCGGAUCUAUGGCUUUUCCCCAAUGUGCCGGACGCAACCAUGUCUGGGCUGACUGCCUAGAUGAGGGGGUGGCGGCGGAGUCGUGGCUCAAUUGUUGUUGUUGUUGUUGUAACUGCCCCCCCUCCGUUGUUGGUCCUUUGUCUUUGGUUGAGGCUCCAGUAGUGGCGAUGCAUUCGAUGCAAACCGGUUUCGCACUUUUGUGCUUAACUUUCCUGACCUCGGAUCAGACAUGAUUACCCGCUGAACUUAAUCAUAUCACUAAGCGGAGGAAAAGAAACUAACCAGGCUACCACGCGCGUGGUGCGGCUGAUCCA